GAUCACAUUUCAAACAAAUAGGCACAAUCCACAAAGAAUUGGGAUUUCCUAGCUACCACUUGCUGGUGCCUGAUGGUGGUAGCUAUCCAAAGUAAUUGAGUUGAUCACCUGAACUGUUGACUUACUCAUGAUUCUUCAGCACUUGAUCGUUUUAGUGAAACUUCAUUCAUGCAGGAACAAACCAGAUGAUAGGAGCAACCAUCACCUCCUUAUAAUGGAAUGGGGGACCUCAUAUUCAAAAACUAAGAUUACCAUGUAACCAGCUUUUCCCAUAGUAUGCCAGAUUAUGUAACCAGCAUUUCCCAUAGUAUACCAUGCUGAUGCUAAACAUAGUCACCAGCUGCCAUGAAGUCUACCUAUUUGCCUAAUGAUCCGAAAUUUCCUCUGCCAACUCUAAGUUGCAAAAUCAUUCACAAGGCUGACGAAAAUGGUCAUCUUUUGAAGAUGUUGGGGAUGCCCGCCACCAGAAGUUUGCUGUUGGAUUCAGUUGCUCCUAUCAAUGUUAAUACUCUUCGAUGUAAAUUAUUAGUGUCGUAUUAGCUCCAAGAGGAUCACUACGCCAGUGAGAAACCUGAUGUUAAUGUUCGCACGUGUCGAACAAUUAAUGUUUUUAGGACUCCAAAAUUGCUUUAGCAUAAGGACAUCUAUUUCACCGUAUUGUAAACUAUGCUAAGAAACUACUACUUAGCUAACUAUUUGAUGCUAAUGCCACUCUUCUUUGCAAUCAAAA